rnacentral:rRNA from 1 species
AUUGAACGCUGGCGGCAUGCCUUACACAUGCAAGUCGAACGGCAGCACGGGAGCAAUCCUGGUGGCGAGUGGCGAACGGGUGAGUAAUAUAUCGGAACGUGCCCAGUCGUGGGGAUAACGUAGCGAAAGCUACGCUAAUACCGCAUACGAUCUAUGGAUGAAAGCGGGGGAUCGCAAGACCUCGCGCGAUUGGAGCGGCCGAUAUCAGAUUAGGUAGUUGGUGAGGUAAAGGCUCACCAAGCCGACGAUCUGUAGCUGGUCUGAGAGGACGACCAGCCACACUGGGACUGAGACACGGCCCAGACUCCUACGGGA